rnacentral:rRNA from 1 species
UACGUAUGGAGCAAGCGUUAUCCGGAUCUACUGGGUGUAAAGGGAGCGCAGGCGGCUUUGCAAGUCUGAUGUGAAAGGCCGGGGCUCAACCCCGGGACUGCAUUGGAAACUGUAAAGCUAGAGUGCCGGAGAGGUAAGCGGAAUUCCUAGUGUAGCGGUGAAAUGCGUAGAUAUUAGGAGGAACACCAGUGGCGAAGGCGGCUUACUGGACGGCAACUGACGCUGAGGCUCGAAAGCGUGGGGAGCAAACAGG